CCUUGCCAGCCCGCUCAAGAACUUAAUGAAUUGACGGGGCCGCACAAGCGGUGGAGUAUGUGGUUUAAUUCGAUGCAACGCGAAGAACCUUACCUGGUCUUGACAUCCCGGAGACCCUUAGGAAACUAGGGGGUGCUUCCAUCUGGAAGAAUCUGGAGACAGGUGCUGCAUGGCUGUCGUCAGCUCGUGUCGUGAGAUGUUGGGUUAAGUCCCGCAACGAGCGCAACCCUUGCCUUUAGUUGCCAGCAGUUCGGCUGGGCACUCUAAAGGGACUGCCGGUGUUAAACCGGAGGAAGGUGGGGAUGACGUCAAGUCCUCAUGGCCUUUAUGACCAGGGCUACACACGUACUACAAUGGCCGAUACAAAGGGCAGCGACACUGCGAGGUGAAGCCAAUCCCGUAAAAUCGGUCUCAGUCCGGAUUGGAGUCUGCAACUCGACUCCAUGAAGUUGGAAUCGCUAGUAAUCGUGGAUCAGCAUGCCACGGUGAAUACGUUCCCGGGCCUU
rnacentral:rRNA from 1 species